GGGGAAUAUUGGACAAUGGGCGCAAGCCUGAUCCAGCCAUGCCGCGUGAGUGAUGAAGGCCCUAGGGUUGUAAAGCUCUUUCAGCUGGGAAGAUAAUGACGGUACCAGCAGAAGAAGCCCCGGCUAACUUCGUGCCAGCAGCCGCGGUAAUACGAAGGGGGCAAGCGUUGUUCGGAAUCACUGGGCGUAAAGCGUACGUAGGCGGAUAUUUAAGUCAGGGGUGAAAGCCCGAGGCUCAACCUCGGAACUGCCUUUGAUACUGGGUAUCUUGAGUCCGGGAGAGGUGAGUGGAAUGCCGAGUGUAGAGGUGAAAUUCGUAGAUAUUCGGCGGAACACCAGUGGCGAAGGCGGCUCACUGGCCCGGUACUGACGCUGAGGUACGAAAGCGUGGGGAGCAAAC
rnacentral:rRNA from 1 species